UACAGAGGUGGCAAGCGUUGUUCGGAAUUACUGGGCGUAAAGAGCGCGCAGGCGGUCGUUCAAGUCGCGUGUGAAAGCCCCCGGCUCAACUGGGGAGGGUCACGCGAUACUGGUCGACUCGAAGGCAGGAGAGGGUAGUGGAAUUCCCGGUGUAGUGGUGAAAUGCGUAGAUAUCGGGAGGAACACCAGUGGCGAAGGCGACUACCUGGCCUGUUCUUGACGCUGAGGCGCGAAAGCUAGGGGAGCAAACGGG
rnacentral:rRNA from 1 species